rnacentral:rRNA from 1 species
CCUACGGGAGGCAGCAGUGGGGAAUAUUGGGCAAUGGAGGAAACUCUGACCCAGCAACGUCGCGUGAAUGAUGACUGUCUUCGGAUUGUAAAGUUCUUUUCUAAGGGAAGAAGAAAGUGACGGUACCUUAGUAAUAAGCCUCGGCUAACUACGUGCCAGCAGCCGCGGUAAUACGUAGGAGGCGAGCGUUAUCCGGAAUGACUGGGCGUAAAGGGUGCGUAGGUGGUUUGGCAAGUUAGUAGCUUAACUCCAGGGCUCAACCUUGGAACUACUACUAAAACUGGUGGACUUGAGUGCAGGAGGGGCAACCGGAAUGCGUGGUGUAGCGGUGGAAUGCGUAGAUAUUAGGAGGAACACCAGUGGCGAAGGCGGGUUGCUAGACUGUAACUGACACUGAGGCACGAAAGCGUGGGGAGCAAACAGGAUUAGAUACCCGGGUAGUC